GCAAAAUUAAUUGUGAUUUAUUCUGUGUCAGUCUAUUUAGAUUCUAUGGUUUCCUUCUACAAUUGUUCCUGCACAAGGAUCAGAUAUUGUCUGCAAGCUCGGAUGGCAUGUAAAACAGAUAUUAAUAAGUGUACAAGACUGAGUUUUAUCCUUAUGGCCCACAGUGUGGGAAGCUGUUGCACAUAUAUACAACAGAAUCUGUUUCCAAGCAAUUUCCAAGGGCCAGAAGAAACAAAUCAAGCCAACCAGGCAAGUACAUGUUUUCAAAUAUUAAACAGAACUGUAUCCAAAGGGAAAAACAGAAAUUAUUUACAAGAUAAAGGAGCUGCUUCUUUAUCCAAAUUUGUCCUCUGAAUGCAAAAUCUAAGGAUGUAUUAUGAAUGGGAUACAAUCCAAAAGGUUGGUUGCCUUUAGUAUGGAUGUAUUUGAUUUAACUGAGCAAGUCUGGAUCUGAGGAGCUGCAGUUACCAAGUGUUUACUAAGAAUUUUAUCUGACAUGAUGUAGCUAGUAUAGCUGAGCAAUGUGCUGCUGGAGAAACUGAGUACAGUCUUUAUCUCACCUAGCCAGAGAAAAUGGCUUUAGGAGGGACCCCGAUGAGUGCUCUGUCCUACCUCUACUGCCCUUCCUCCUUAACCAGUUUGUCCCACUUGCUCUUGACCAUGGUGUGAUGAGCUCUCCAGAGCCACCCUGUUCGCUCAUUUCUAGUGCUUCACUCUCUGCUACAGCAUUUUAUCUAUUGCCUGACAUUGUGUCAAUUUAAACCCAUUACUUUUUGUCUUAUUCGGGGUAAUGCAAUGAGCAGAGUACUUUGUAAGAAUUUCUUACAUGUCUGAAAACUGUUAGUCUGUUUCUUUUCUCUUUGGAAGAUGAUCCCUAAAAGUAACACAAAAAGAAAUAAUAACAGUCAUAUUAACUCUCAAAUCCUAUUCACUGACCCAUCUUUCCAAGUUACCUACUUUGUCUGUCCUGUGCCCUCACCAUGGGAUGGAGCAGCAAUCUGAAUUAAAGUACGGGUUCCUAUCUGAUUGCAUUUCCAGAAUAUAAAUGUCAUUUGCAGGGUGAGAAGAACCCCCACAAACCUGCCCAGAAGUUUCCCCCAGAGCUGCGUCCACCCUGGUAGAGCUUUUGCUUCUCUCCCAGUGGUUGCCUUGAGAACAGCAAGAUGUGAGUGCCACCUGGUGCUCGCACUGCUGCCUGGCAAGGAAACAAAUGCCAUAGGAGCUAAAGAGGAUUGAAACUUUCUGCAAAUCACCGUCAGGCUUCUGUUAACCCAUAAAAACAAUACAUGAUGAAUCUCACUGCUGUCGAGAAGUCCAAAGCCUCUGAAUUAUUAUUAUUUUUGUUAGUGGUAAGGGACGGCCUCUUCUUCAUCCAAGCUAUGAAAAGCUUUUCACUGAUAAGCAGUUUCCUACCUAUUUUGAAGUCGACGUGUUUAAGGCUAGAAACAAAGAAACUCUUUAAGAGUAAUCUCUGCCUCCCACUCUCUGAUGUCAGGGUCUUUUUUUAAGCGAAGUUGACCUGACACCAAUUAAGCAAGCAAACAGCUGAGGAAUAUGAGAAUUGUUCUGAAUGUUGUCAUCCAUCUCCGUACAGAAAACUUCUAAGAGGUUUGAUUGGGUAUGAUUGGGUCUGGAAAAUUACAGAAUGUGCAGGUUUUCCAGCUUCACCUGAGGGGUCAUGGAUGAGUCAAGUUUAAUACCUGGUAUUCAGGUUGCAGCUGCUAUUUCUAAAGGAGAAUAAAUUAGUGUUGCUAUUGACA
rnacentral:lncRNA from 1 species